AACGAACGCUGGCGGCAGGCCUAACACAUGCAAGUCGAGCGCACUUUUCGGAGUGAGCGGCGGACGGGUUAGUAACGCGUGGGAAUAUGCCCAAUGGUACGGAAUAGCCUCUGGAAACGGAGAGUAAUACCGUAUGUGCCCUUCGGGGAAAGAUUUAUCGCCAUUGGAUUAGCCCGCGUCUGAUUAGAUAGUUGGUGGGGUAACGGCCUACCAAGUCGACGAUCAGUAGCUGGUUUGAGAGGAUGAUCAGCAACACUGGGACUGAGACACGGCCCAGACUCCUACGGGAGGCAGCAGUGGGGAAUCUUAGACAAUGGGCGCAAGCCUGAUCUAGCCAUGCCGCGUGAGUGAUGAAGGCCUUAGGGUCGUAAAGCUCUUUCGCCUGUGAAGAUAAUGACUGUAGCAGGUAAAGAAACCCCGGCUAACUCCGUG
rnacentral:rRNA from 1 species